rnacentral:rRNA from 1 species
AUAUACACAGUUUGGCCUGCUCACUGAGUUUACUUGAAGAGCCGCAGUAUUUUGACUGUGCGAAGGUAGCAUAAUAGAUUGUCCUUUAAUUGGGGGCUGGAAUGAAUGGUCGGACAAAGUAUCAUCUGUUUCUUGAAUUAUUUUUGAACUUUACUUUUAAGUGAAAAGGCUUAAAUAAAUUAAAAAGACGAUAAGACCCUAUAAAUCUUUACAUAAAUUUAUAUUUUAGGUCUUGAGUUGUAAAUUAAAAGGGACUUAAAGGGGUAAUUAUGUUUUGCUGGGGCGGCAUAGAUGUAUUUAAAAACUGUUUAUGAUUUAUAUUCAAUUAUUAUUGUGUAAUUAUUUUGAUCCUUUUAAAAGAUUAAGAGAUUAAGAUACUUUAGGGAUAACAGCGUUAUUUUCUUUGAGAGUUCAUAUCGAAGAGAAAGUUUGCGACCUCGAUGUUGAAUUAAGGUUUCUUUAUGGUGCAGCAGCUAUAUGGGAAGGUCUGUUCGACCUUUAAUUCCUUACAUGAUUUGAGUUCAGACCGGC